rnacentral:rRNA from 1 species
UACGUAGGUGGCAAGCGUUGUCCGGAAUUACUGGGUAUAAAGGGAGCGCAGGCGGGAAGGCAAGUCAGCGGUGAAAUGUAUGGGCUUAACCCAUGAACUGCCGUUGAAACUGUUUUUCUUGAGUGGAGUAGAGGCAAGCGGAAUUCCUAGUGUAGCGGUGAAAUGCGUAGAGAUUAGGAGGAACACCAGUGGCGAAGGCGGCUUGCUGGGCUCUAACUGACGCUGAGGCUCGAAAGUGUGGGGAG